GAUAAUUACAAUUUUACCAUUGUAUCCCAAAAAUCCACAUUAGAAAACCCCUCUUCAACCGAAUUCAGAAACCCUAGUUUUCACAAUAAAUUGAAAUUGGGGCGGUGCUGGAGAAGAAGAAGAAGAAAGCUUGAGAAUCAUGGCGGAGCAUUUGGCUUCUAUAUUCGGUACAGAGAAAGACAGGGUGAAUUGCCCUUUCUACUUUAAGAUCGGAGCGUGUCGGCAUGGUGACCGCUGUUCCAGGCUUCACACAAAGCCUAGCAUCAGUCCCACGUUGGUUCUCUCUAACAUGUACCAGCGUCCUGAUAUGAUCACCCCUGGUGUUGACCCUCAAGGCCAGCCCCUUGACCCUCGCCAGAUCCAGCGUCACUUCGAGGUAUAUAUUUAUAUAUGUGUCUCUGUAUGUGUUUAUAUGGAUCUAUCUAUGUCGAAUCUAGGUUUUUGAAUAUAUGGUUUCUGAGCGUGAGUGGUAAGGUGGAAGCACAAAAACUAGCUUAGAUACGAAGAAAUUGAAGAUUUAGUUACGAUUAGAAAUCAUUCACUUAAAAAUUUAAUUGAAAGUUUUAAGAAUAAGGGAAAUGCUAGAUUGUGUAAGCUGAAUUGCUAUUAUUUGUGGAUGAGUAGGUUGGAAGCACAGUAGCUAGCUCAGACACUGCUAUCAUUAAAAAAACAUAUACUUGUGUAUGUGUGAUAUUAGUAGGUUGGAAGCCCUAAAGCUAGCUCAGACACCGUUAUCAUUACAAAAGAACAUAUACUUGUGUGUGUGGACUCACGAACGAUACAGUUUUCCUUCUGCUUCGUAUGUAUAUAUGGAUUGGAUGGAUACUUGUUUAUUUUGUUUUUAUGAAAUGACUGUCCUAAGAAGUGCUAUUAUCAGUGUCUUUGGUUUAAACAAAGAGAAGUUGAAGUUUCAAACUAGUUGUCUUGAAUAAAUUGUUUUUGAUUGUUGGCUAAUUUCUAGGUUCUGUUCUGUUAGCCACUGGGAGGUUGGGGGAGACUUUUUUGUGUAACUAUAGAAAGUUAACUCAUAACUGUGUUGCAUGUUGUGUAGUAUGCACAAGUUUAGCGUUGUCGUUGAAUGGGUUUUACGGAUUUGUUAAAAGUGAACGUGGUGUUGAAACCUCCAUGAGGUAGCGGUAAGGUCUUGCGUACACUCUACCCUCCCCAGGCCCAACUUGUGGGAUUUCACGGGGAAUGCUGUUGUUGUUGAACUUGGUUCUGAGAGCGCGGUACUGACCGAAGCAUUUUCUGUUUCCAUAUGCUGCAAGAACUUAGAACAAUGAAAAAGCAAAACAGUGUGUUGUGAAAACGUUAAGCCCUUUUCGUAUGUUAGUGUGCUGAUGGGGUUUUGGUGCUGUGAUGUAAUUGCAUGUUAAAAUAGAAUUCAUGUCAAUUUUUAUUCAAAAGACUGUCCCUCGUUUUUAGCUUCUGUUUUCUCGCUGUGGUGUCAUCUUUGAGGAAAUAUGAGGUUUGUUUUAUGUAUAGGUUAUUUUUGUUCAAGUUCGUAAUGGGUAAUGUAAGGUGUGCUUACAUCCUACCCACACUAGACCCCACUUGUGGGAUUACACUUUGUUCAUUGUUGUUGUAAGUUUCUAAUAGGAAUUCUGUCCGAGUAAAAGUAGGUUGAUUUAUUAUCCUGUGUUUCCUCCUAAUUUCGUGGGAAUGAAAUAUGUGUGAUCACCAUUGAACAUGCAGGACUUCUAUGAAGAUUUAUUUGAAGAGCUUAGCAAGUAUGGAGAGAUUGAAAACCUCAACAUCUGUGACAAUUUAGCUGACCACAUGGUUGGUAAUGUGUAUGUCCAGUUCAGAGAGGAAGAUCACGCUGCAAGUGCGCUUCAGAAUCUUACAGGAAGAUUUUAUGCAGGUUAGUUCACUCAUUUUGGUUGAAUGAUGUUUAGUUUUAGUUUUGAUUGUGUUAGCAGUUAGUUUUGGUAUGGGUUUUCUGGUCAACUUUGUUGGUUCUAUAGAAAUAACCCAAGGAGAACUCAGUGCUUAUCUUAACAAGAUCAGUAUAGGUGGUUUUUGGUUAUAUUUAUCUCAAGUAUGGCGCAAUUGACUCGUAGGUCUCUACAAGACAGAUAGAUAUCUUUCAAGUUGUUGCUCCCUCAUCUCCUUCAAUUUCUGGAGAUUAUGUAGAGUAUUAUGCUUAUGGUUGCACUUGUCUGUGUUUAAACCAAACAUUAUUUCAGUUUUUAGAUCAUAUAUAUCCUAAAUGGUGGAAAGAAAUUUAGGUUUGGACUAUGGAAUAGUUUAUUUUUGCAGGGAGCUUAGUUUAUUUCAAAGGGAAUGCUAUUUUUUUUUGAGAAUGGGAAGGAACAAAUCAAUUCAAUUUUUUUGUUAUGUAUUAUACUAAUGUUUCUUUUUGUGCGAUAAAGUCAUUCUCUAUAGCUGACGAUCAUGAAAUUUGUAUAUUUUAGGACGCCCAAUCAUUGUUUUAGUUCACUCAUUUUGGUUGAAUGAUGUUUAGUUUUAGUUUUGAUUAUGUUAGCAGUUAGUUUUGGUAUGGGUUUUCUGGUCAACUUUGUUGGUUCUAUAGAAAUAACCCAAGGAGAACUCAGUGCGUAUCUUAACAAGAUCAGUAUAGGUGGUUUUUGGUUAUAUUUAUCUCAAGUAUGGCGCAAUUGACUCGUAGGUCUCUACAAGACAGAGAGAUAUCUUUCAAGUUGUUGCUCCCCUCAUCUCCUUCAAUUUCUGGAGAUUAUGUAGAGUAUUAUGCUUAUGGUUGCACUUGUCUGUGUUUAAACCAAACAUUAUUUCAGUUUUUAGAUCAUAUAUAUCCUAAAUGGUGGAAAGAAAUUUAGGUUUGGACUAUGGAAUAGUUUAUUUUUGCAGGGAGCUUAGUUUAUUUCAAAGGGGAUGCUAUUUUUUUUUUGAGAAUGUGAAGGAACAAAUCAAUUCAAUUUUUUUGUUAUGUAUUAUACUAAUGUUUCUUUUUGUGCGAUAAAGUCAUUCUCUAUAGCUGACGAUCAUGAAAUUUGUAUAUUUUAGGACGCCCAAUCAUUGUUGACUUCUCCCCAGUGACUGAUUUUCGGGAAGCCACGUGUAGGCAGUAUGAGGAAAAUGUAUGUAACCGAGGCGGCUAUUGCAACUUCAUGCAUCUGAAAAAGAUAAGCAGGUUUUCAUCUGCCCAUCCCUCCUUUUCCUCUCCCAUCACACAGACAUCACCAAAACUCUCUGCUUUCUUUCUAAUCUUGGUAUUUGGUGGCUGAUGCAAUUUUUUUUGGUUGAAGGGAGUUGAGGCGGCAAUUAUUUGGGAAGAGCAGUAGGCGAAGGCGCAGUCAUAGUAGAAGCCGAAGUCCGCGUGGUAAUCGCAAUUAUGAAGAGCAGCGCCCACAGGGAGGUCGUGGUUUUGGUAGAAGAGGAGGUGGAGGAGGUGGUGAUCGCUACCAUGAUAGAGGUAGGAGGCCUAGAAGCAGAAGUCCUGGACGAAGGAGUGGACACAGCAGAAGUCCUGGGGGCAGGAGAAAUAGAAGUCCAAUUAGGGAAGGAAGUGAGGAGAGAAGAGCAAAGAUUGAACAAUGGAACAGAGAAAAGGAAGAGACAGGAUCUGGGAGGAAUCAUGGCGGUGGGGCACGUAGGGAAGACAGGGAAGGCAGUGCUGAGAGGAGGGCAAAGAUUGAGCAAUGGAACAGGGAGAAAGAAGAGGCAGAUUCUGCUAAAUAUGGUAAUUUUGACGCUGACAAUGGCAGGAAUGAUGGUGGUGAUCACUAUGGAGAACAGUUUGAUGAUGGUUACCCGAAGCAGCAGUAGGUAGAAAAUGGAAGUGAUGGCUGCUGCUAUGGUAGUGUUGCUCUGGUUAGUGGCACUUCCAUCAUACUUAUUGUUUCACCUGAAUGUCUUUCAAUCUUAGUGGCACAUUGCAGAAGUAUAGCUCACUGUCCAUUUUCCACUGUGCAGGGUGGAGUACAGGUCCACUGUCCUAUGAUUUUGAAAAGUGUUACCCAUCUUUUAUCUUCUUUUUACCAAAAUUUUUAAGUACAGGACUUUGUUUAACAGGGAUCAUAGUGAGGCCUACUUAGAAACACUGCCAUUUUUCCCGUCUCUGAUGCAUCCGUUGCUUGCACAGUGAAGCUUGCAGUGCUCAAUUUUUCUUGUUAAUUUUUCCAAUGUCCUUUUUCCUGUCUCAUAUUGACAACUAUUUAUUUCUUAUAUAGGGAACCAGCCAACGGUAAUAUAGCAUCUGUUAAUUUGUAGAACAGCUUUUUAACUUUAGGGCCUCUGAUCAAAUGAUUUUUUUCUCUCGCUGGUUCGUUCUUCCUGAAAAUGGAACAUUUGAUUAAAGUGAUUGGGAGUAGAAACAUAGCCCUUCCAAGAUUUCUGCCCACCUUAGAUUUGUUAGUUGUCUACAGUCUAGGGGCUUCUCUCUUCCUAGGCUAAUUCAUAGAGUUUGUCAUUCUUAUAAGAUUGAUGUUAAUCCAAGGUUUUGCAGGUUAAAAGGUUCCUGCUUUGCAGUGGUCGUGCCUACCUUUACAUAGCAGCUUACAAUGGUCUUGUAUACAGGUUUUCUCUGCUGCAGACGAGUCCAUGGGCUUCUAACAUGCUAGGGAUGGCGAGAAGUGAAGGAACCAAGUCCAUGGACCUAUGAAGUUCUUUCCGUUUUGGAGUUUUAUCAUUUGUUAGGCAUUACAGGUUUAUAUCCUCAAAGACAAUAGUGCUGUGUAUAACUGUACUGGUUGGUGAUCUGUUGGGUUGAAUUUCAUUUCAGUACUUAAUCGUGUUUUACUUUCAGUCGUUUGGAGGUUUCUGUUGAAACAAAUUUGCUGAAGAGAGCAGGAUUUUUAUGUGGCAGUUGCUAGACUGCAGUAUGAACUCCUUUUGCAGUUUCUUUCGUUACAUUUAUGUUGCCGUCUUUAUCAUGUAGUCGAAAUGAUCUCUGCAUCUUCUCUUUCGUGUUGUGUGAUUCCGAUGUAAUAUUAUGCAUCGGUGUGAAUAUAGGCUUGUGGCUUCGUGACAUGGAAGCUAAAAUCAUGAAUGUUUUGACAUUAGUGAUUUUCUAGCCAUUUUGAAGCAUAAUGGUGAGAGAAAAACCUUGGACUAGAUGUCAAAACAUUCAUGAUUUUUGAAUCUUACUACUGUCAAAACAUUCAUGAUUUUCUCUAAGUAUACUACGACAGACAUCCACCACAAUUUCACAGGUGGAGUCUAAGGAGGAUAAGAUAUAUGAAGAUCUUAUCCCUACUUAUAUGAGGUAGAGAGAUCAUUUUCGAUGAAUCUUUGGCUUGAAAGGUAGUUAUCUGAUGUAAGAUUGUACGAAAAUAGACAACAAAGUAGUAAGAUUCAAAUUUCUCAAUGUAAUGAUGUGAUUUAUUUAGACUCGUCCACCGCGAACUUGGAUCAUCACUCUCACUUUAUUUGAGCUGAAUUAUAUCCACCGAAAUCAUUCUCGAGUCACUUGAGAAAUGAACAUAUAUAUCUAAAAUAAUUCAGACUUGAAAUACAAACUAUGAAAAAACUAAUUACUACUUGUUAAUAGAAUCUGUAAAUGCUUAGUAUAUUUCUCUUGUACUGAGGAUUAAUAAUUAAAUCAAUUUAGUGGAGAAUUGUUCUUUUCUCAUUUGUCAGCAUCAUCACUAGAAUCAUAACUUAGGUAAAAGAAUUGACAUCUCAACUAACAACACUAUUUUAUUCUUAAAUUCACAAGCACUCGAUAGUCACAAGGCAUGGAAAAUAGGUUUCUGGGAUUAGAUCAGACUCGAGAAAUAAUGUAUUUUUUAUGACCACGAAGGAAUUUUGAUUUCUUUUAGAAAGAAAUUGGGGAAGGAAAGGUUUACGUAAUUGAUACUUCAAUUUGUAUGGAGGCAGAUACAUUGUUUCUGAUUAAAUCAUUGGCUCGAAAACGUGUAAUCAAAACGUAAUAUAAAAAGUUUUGUUUUAAAAAUGUGAUCAAUGAAAUUCGAUAAAGACCUAACAUACAUUUUGACAAUUUAAGAGAGAAGAAUUAGUUCGUAUUUUCCUGAAUUAGGAGUUAUCUAAUUUCUAUUAUCUUGCUAUAACUUAAUCUUUACUCAAAUCGAUAAUAAUUGAGAGCAAUUCUUAAUUAAAAGAAAGGAAAAACAUAAAGAUGAUUCUGAUUUUUUGUUCUCUUAACAAAACCUAUUUGCUUUGAAAAUAUUCUUUUGUUGGAUAGUUCAUAAUUUUCCAUAUAAAUGUCAUUAAGUAACAAAAUUGAACUCAUAUUUUAC
rnacentral:lncRNA from 1 species